GUACUUGACACUAACAAUCUGUUGCUCGCCGUCACUCUAGCCUGUGAAAGGAAUUUAGUGGCAGUGCGAGAUGUUUGCGGAGCGCGUGAUCCUUGCCAUGUUGGCCGUUGCAUUGAGCAUAAUGGCCACGGUCGACGCCCUGGUCCUCUGUCGACGCUUCCCCUCCUGCUGCUACCCCUACGACACUUGUCACGCUCUGUGUCCAUCCUGUCGAGAGGCCAAGUACUUCUGGAACGGCAUUCGCCUCUACCCCAAGUACCCAAAUCGUCCGUGUUCCAUAGGCGGCAAUGUGAUCAAUCCAGAUCCGUACGCUUACCCACGGUCACCCGUCUAUCCUAAUCCUCCAAUAUGUAUAUGAUAGAAUAACCACUCACAUGUUCUACAUGUGAGCUCUCCUUGUCAUCAGGUCACUUGAUUAUGACGGGACUGAGCUCUUCGGGAACGUUGUCGUGAGCUGUGGUGCUCAGGCGCUCCAACUAACUAACUUCCAGGGGGUGCAUGACCUGCCAUAAAGAAGCAACAUGAACUUGGUAUCAGACUCUUUUUUUCUUCUAUACAGCCUCCAGAGGAAUUUCUAAUUGGAAGUCAUGUCACCACAACUAGGAAACGCUCAAUGGCCUCCCGACCCAGCCUCUCCUAGCUUUUCUUGGGCCAAGCUUGGGUGAGCAACAGGGGAAGUGUGCGGCUCUUCCACAAGGGAUCCAAGGUCGUAUUAUGUUAAUAAUACUUACAAAAAUGGAACAAAAAAAUUGAAUUAUUUCUAACGGAAGUAUUAUUAGCAAUUAAUCUCCGAAAAUGAAAUCAUCUCUGUCGGAAGGAAUCAAGACAGUAUUUUCCAGUCGGUCUGUUUAAAAAUACGGCCGGUAUUCCCUAAGUGAUUGAUGAACUCUGGUGACCAGUAAUAGAGUGUUUAUCACUAUUUGGAGAACCUCUGUGAGGUUGCCUGUAGUGAUUCCAGAUUGUGUGCAGUGUACAAGUAUUUAUUAUCAACCAGGAAGGUCUGGUUUUUUCUUUUUUUUUCUUUACGCAAAUAAAGACAUUUUGUAAAAAGUAUUAACUGCGUA